rnacentral:lncRNA from 1 species
AAAAAUGCUUCUUUUCUCUCUGUGCAGGUUCUCCUGGUCCCGUCUAGGCUCCGGCGAACAGCCACCGUCCUCCGCCGCGGGCACCGUCGCCGGCCAUCGCGAGAAAAAGGUGUAUUUUUUAUUUUCCUCUUUAUUUUAAUAAUAUAUAUAUGCACAACCAUGUAAUCAGGAAAAGAAAAGUAAACAAGAAAAAAAAGAAAGAAGAACCGAUUCGAAACUUAGAAAAUUUUAAACACCUUUCGAUCUCUGGUUUUGAUUUCUUCCUUGGGCUUCGUUUUUUCUGCUUUUGAUGUUGAUGAAAUCUCUGUUACUUGUUUUGUGUUCUUUAAGAUCUAAUAAUGUUUUUCAUUUCAAGAAGAACCGAUUGUAAAAAUGGUCCUUGAUUUGGCUUUUAAAUAGCCAUUUACAUGCCCCUUUUUUAAUAUCUGUCUAUUCUCCUUUUUUUAAUGUUGCAGGCGCAAGUGGGGCGGUGGCAAGUGGCAGUGCUUGCAGACGUCGGUGGUGGAUGGGAUGGGGAGCAGGUGCUGAACGGCUAGGGUUUCCUUAGCUUUUUUCUUUUGUUGUGUGUGUGGGCAUGGGUAGGUUUGGGUCUUUGGGGUGAUUUGGGUAGGUUAUUUGUUUGGGGUGUAGUGGGUAUUUAGUGGGCUUGGGUUUGGGUCUGGGUUUAGUAGAUUUUGGGGUUAUUAGCUUAGUGGGUUUAGGGGUUUUGAGCCCAAAAUUGGGCUUGUACAGUUUUUUUUCUAAGGAGAUAAAUUAUGGUAUGCAGUUUAAUUUUGGUUUUUUUUUAAAUAUUGGUAAUUUAAUUAAGGAUAUGAAGUUUGAGGUGGGUAGUUAUAGAGUAAUCUGUGUCAGAACAAUUUUUUUUCCACCACCUUGACGUAAUUAAUUAUCUAUGUAUAUAAUAUUGGAAGUUGGUUAGUUAAUAAAAUUGUGUCUAAAUUGGAUUGGGUCCACUCAACUAAAAGAGAACAGAAUGG